rnacentral:rRNA from 1 species
GUCUAUGGCCAUGCUACCCUGAACAAGCUUGAUCCCAUCUGAUCUUGGAAGCUAAGCAGGGUUGGGCCUGGUUUGUACUUGGAUGGGAGACCACCUAGGAAGACCAGGUGCUAUAGGUG